GAUGAACGCUGGCGGCGUGCCUAAUACAUGCAAGUCGAGCGAACAGACGAGGAGCUUGCUCCUCUGACGUUAGCGGCGGACGGGUGAGUAACACGUGGAUAACCUACCUAUAAGACUGGGAUAACUUCGGAAACCGGAGCUAAUACCGGAUCAUAUAUUGAACCGCAUGGUUCAAUAGUGAAAGACGGUUUUGCUGUCACUUAUAGAUGGAUCCGCGCCGCAUUAGCUAGUUGGUAAGGUAACGGCUUACCAAGGCAACGAUGCGUAGCCGACCUGAGAGGGUGAUCGGCCACACUGGAACUGAGACACGGUCCAGACUCCUACGGGAGGCAGCAGUAGGGAAUCUUCCGCAAUGGGCGAAAGCUUGACGGAGCAACGCCGCGUGAGUGAUGAAGGUCUUCGGAUCGUAAAACUCUGUUAUUAGGGAAGAACAAAUGUGUAAGUAACUAUGCACGUCUUGACGGUACCUAAUCAGAAAGCCACGGCUAACUACGUG
rnacentral:rRNA from 1 species